AACCUAGCACACCUGCGGUGUGUACCUGCGGAGGGAUCAUUAUCGAGUUGCAAAACUCCAACCCUUUGUGAACAUACCUCAGUCGUUGCUUCGGCGGUGGACGGCCUGUUUUUCGGAACGGCCGGAAGCCGCCGGAGGUUCCAAACUCGUAUUUUUUAGUGUAUCUCUGAGCCUGAAAACAAAUAAUCAAAACUUUUAGCAAUGGAUCU
rnacentral:misc_RNA from 1 species